CGGUGGCCAUGGCUCCCUCCGGGCAGUGGAACAGGGUAAGUUUCACUUUCCUGAGCUCAGAGAUAUGCCCCGCCUGCAGCAGCAAUUGGGUGUUUCCCUUCCUGGAACUGAUUCAGGCUGUUUGCUGAGCUGGAGCCAGAUCACAGCCACCAUUGAAUAAAUUCAACACCUCUGGAAACGAAGAGGAGAGUCAGCACCAUGCGUUCAGCCCCCUCUCCACUGAGCCCAGCUGAGGAAUUCCUGAUUGACAUGGCUAUAGCCUGCACAAGAGAGAGCACAGGCUGGAUAGCAGCAAAACCCCAGCUCCCAUUCCAGGGACAUGCAGGUAUUUUUCCUGUUGGUGCUGGGGACACACAACCAACUAGGGAAGCAAAUCCCACAACUCUACCCCCAACAAUUACAGCUGGAAAAUUCAAAAGGGACAAAUCAGAAUUGUCUUUCAUGCUUUAUUUACUGUAAAUACCCAUCAGAGUACAAAGGAGUUGAGAAGCAGCUUCAAUAAUCACAACAAUGGAAAAGAGAGCCACAGGUUUUGGGAACAGUUUCUUUUGUUGCCAUUUUAGUGUAAUUAAAGUCAAGGAAGUAACAUAUGAAAUUAAUGAGUGACAGUCUCAACUUCAGUGAGGCUUUAUAAAUCUCUGUCCCUCUUGUGUUCCCUUUUCUUCUCCCUUCUCCGUCAUACUGUUCAUUUUGACUCACCAUUUUUCUAGCUCUCAUUUCCCAUUCCUGUUUAUUUCUCUGUGUCUUCCACUCUCCUCUGAUCCCUGUCACAACAGAUCCUUCCCCUUCAUGUUCUCCAUUCGUUCCCCUGAGUUUAUCCCUUCAGCUCUCAUUGCCUUUGGCCAUUCCCCUCUUCACAGUGUUUUCCUUUCCUUGGUUUGAUACCCCUUUCUCCAGGACUCUGUUUAUUUUGUUUUACUUGAUCUUUUCCUUUUGUUUUCUCUGUUCCCUCUGGUUCAGCCCAGCCUGCGCCCUCCCCAACCCGUGACACUAGCAGUGUUGCCAACCCCAGAACUUAAAAAUCAUGAGUCAGAACCCAAAAUCAUGAAAUUGACCCCCCCGCCCCCCCAAAAAACAUGAGGGCUCAAAAUAAUAUAUAACGUAUCCUGGUUUAUCUUCUGAUUUUUGAACUCUCCCUGCCCAUCCCCUGUGUGACAAUUACAGUGUUACUGGCUCUCCCAUAGUUACAGGGGAAGGUGAUUUGGGCCCCUGUGGCAGGAGCUCUAGCUGGGAGACCCCAGUGAGAUCUAAUCUCACAGAUUGGUACAAAAUGCUCCCUGCUGCUGCGGAGCUUCCUCCAACCCCCCAAACCCUGAUUGAGUCAUUCUGUGUCCCGGCCACCCCCACAUCUGCCUGUCCCCAGCCCGGCUGUUAGUUCUGCCCCCUGCCCAGCCCCCACAUCUGCCCCUCAGAGCCCCUCUGCCCCUCCUGCAGCCCCAGGGGUUCUUCCCCCCUCCCACUCUUGGGGCUGCAGGGAGGGGAAGGAGCUUCCAGGGGUCAAAGAGAUGAGGAGCCAGGGGCUGGGUCGAUGGGAGUCCUCCAGAGUCAUAGCGACUGGGCUGUGUGAGGCUAGAGAUGCUAAUUUCAGGGUCCCCAGUCUCAGGGACACGGUCUGAGCCAGGAUUUGCACACCAGCCAGAGCCAGGGGCGGAUUCUCUCCCCAGGGACGGAGCCUGCCUGCUCUGAAAUGUCACAGCUUGGACAGCAACAGGCCACACGGUACCAGGAUUGAACAUGCCCAGAAUUUCACUACAAAUCCCUGCAAGCUGCAUGGAAACUUUUUAAAGACACCAUAAUAGAGGUUCACUUUAAAUAUGCAUCCUUUAAAAAGUGGAAGUUAAAUCCUAGUGAGGAAACUAGAAAGGAGCAUAAACUCUGGCAGAUGAAGUGCAGAAAUAUAAUUAGGGAGGCCAAAAAAGAAUUUGGAGAACAGCUAGCCAAAGACUCAAAAAGUAAUCGCAAUUUUUUCUUAAAUGUACAUCAGAAGCAGGAAGCCUGCUAAACAACCAGUGCGGCCACUGGA